rnacentral:rRNA from 1 species
GAUCCUGGCUCAGGACGAACGCUGGCGGCGUGCUUAACACAUGCAAGUCGAACGAAGAGCGAUGGAAGCUUGCUUCUAUCAAUCUUAGUGGCGAACGGGUGAGUAACGCGUAAUCAACCUGCCCUUCAGAGGGGGGACAACAGUUGGAAACGACUGCUAAUACCGCAUACGAUCCAAUCUCGGCAUCGAGGAUGGAUGAAAGGUGGCCUCUAUUUAUAAGCUAUCACUGAAGGAGGGG